CCCUCUCCCACGGUAUAAAUACACCCAUCUAGGGUUCAUCUACGGUAGCACAAUCUAAACACUUUGAAUUCUCUUGCCCACUGCUUGAGUCUAAAAUCAUUCAUUAACUUAACUAACCUCCCCCCCCCACCCCCCCCAACCAAAGGUUUGCUUACGAUUGUUUCACUAUUUUGCAGGUUGUUCCAGACUACAUGAAUUCGUGCUCGACCGCCUCUUACGGCUCCAAACUAAUUAAUAAGUUUAAGGGGGAUAUGAUGAAGAAGUAUGAGAUGACUG
rnacentral:lncRNA from 1 species